UUUUUCCUCUGCACCUUCCCUGUAACAGUUGAAACAGCAGACUCCCAGGAGGCAGCUGUAGUGGUAAAGCCCUAUAUAAGGAUUGACAUAGCAGGGAAAAAUAAACCAUAUGCAUGAGGAAAGCCAGUGAGUAGCCCCAUGUGUGCCAGCUCUCUGGUUUGUUAUAUUAUCUGCCUCACUUCAAGCCCUGGCUGCAGUGAGAUAUAGGCUAAGAGAAAGGCUUGACAAAAUAUUUGGCAUUUGCAUUCAGAGGCCCAUGGAAAACUCUGGCCUUAAAGAGACAGUAAAUUUGUUCGUACUAGAGAACUAUGGAUAAAUUAUUCAUUUGCUGUGUGUUCCCUACUUGCUGCAGGACUCAGUAGUUGGUUUCCUCACAUUGCUGCUCUGCUCUGAGUCAGGUACCUUCUAGUCAGAUCUUAAUAUGGGCCCUGAAUGGAUGCUGAAGGGAUGUACCUGUGCAGAAGGAAACAGAAGAGGAUUAAGGAAGAGUUGUAGAGUGUUUGUUCCCCACUCCCUCCCACGCCCUGGAUAUCUCUGUAAAUCAGAGAGAGAAGGCAGAUGCUGAGUGAAGUGCUACUGAGGGGAAUUGAAACUUGAAUUUAUGCCUAUGAGAAGAUCUGGUUGGCCACUGGGGAGAUUUGCUUUUAAAUUCCUGCUCUGAUUGUUGAUGAGUUUGAAGUGAUGCUUAAAAAAAGGCUCUCUAUGGAAGAAGUAGCUUGGAAUAUUGAUCCCUAAAUUCAAAUUCACUUCAGGAAUUGCCCACAGUCAAGCAGUACAUAUGGUUAAGUUGCUUAUUUGGAAUGAAUUUGAGGAUAUUUUAAAGGAAAGUAUGAUGUGUUUCAGACCAUUUGGAAGAGCAUGGCAUCUAAUUUACGAGACUGUCUUGGCCAUUUUCUUGAAAUGUGCUAUAUUAGCAGAAGCUUAUUUUGCUGGGAAAGGGUUAAAGGAACAGUGCUAGCUCAAUGGGAAAGGUGAUCUCCUCUCUUAAGUUAGAAGAAAGACCCUGGUUCUCCUAAGGAUGACAGCUGAGUGUGUGGGCUGGAUGAGUUCAGGGAGAAAAAGAGAGUUUGGAGAUCAUGUUGCUCUUUAGGAUCUCUUUAAAAUAAAUUCAUACCAAAAUAGGAUUAAAUCUUUGGCUUUGCAGUUUGUAUAGUUACAUGUGCAAAUUCUGUUGCCUCCAACUCUGAGGCUCCACUUACUGUGUUUUAGAUGUGUUUCUUUGUGUAAAGUUUGCCUCAAAUCCCUGUCCACUGAUUUUCUAUGCUUGGAGGUAGAAAGGGCAGACACUUGUAUCUGCAUCAGUCCUGCCCUUGUUGCAGUUCAAAAGCAGUGAACAACUGCAAAGCCUUGGAGAUGAGGUGGAAGGAACUUACCUCAGGAAACAUGGGUAAGUUAUUCUGGAAAGAACCUGUCCCUGGAAGUUUCGAAACUGAUCCUUGCUGGGAGUGCUCAACUCUUGUGAUGGAGGGUGUGUUCUGAUGGUGAUUGUUCUCUAAGAACAGGAAAAAGGGAUUUUUCUCAGAUGAGUUGUCUCAGGGAAGUAAGAUGAAUAAACACAAGGGAGCCUAUAGUUUUUACAAGAGUGAAAGGUUAAGCUAAAGUUAAUGGAGGAGCCUAGAUUUAAGCUACACAGAUUCUGACUGUCUCUACAGAAUAGUUGUCUCUUAAGAUUGCAUGCUUUAUUUUUUCUACAGUAGCCACCCAGCCCAGGUUAACAGUUACUCUGGUUGAGAGCAUUCCCUCUUGCACCUACAGGGAAUACAAGAUGCAUAUGCCUGCACAGCAGUGCCCUGAGGAGCUGUGGGAGCACAGAGCUCACUGUAGGCUGAUUUACCCAUUCACUCAGUAUCUCUACAGUGUGCUUCUGUGACAGCAGUCUAGACAUACCCAUGUUGGUAUAAGUCACCUUUAUGUAAGUCAAACUACACACACUAGGGCUUUUACUGCAAAUAAACUGUCUCUCUGUUUAAAGAUCAUAUCCUUAACCAACAGAGCCAUAUCAUGCACACUGUUAAAAUUCUUAGACCACACCUACGAAAUAUUGUGCAGAGCAUUCAGUGAAAGCAUGCUUUCUUGUUUUGUUUAAUUUGAAAACUCAUUAGGCAACACAAUUAUUACUGGUUUAUUAAAGAACUUAGAAGGUAGCACUUUAAAGUAAGACUGACAAGUGAGAAUUCAUGUUGUAGAACUGCUUCAUGGCCAGUUCCAGUUUCCAUAGCAACAGUUAUGGCAGUAAAAGGUAGGUAAGGAAAAUGGAAUUUUUAAAAGCAGUUGGCAUUUCUACGUUACCUUAAAAAGGUAAAUUUCCAUAGAAAUGCAGCACCUGAGAACAAAAAUUACCUAAGAAUCUCAAUAUUAUAUUCUAGCAAAAUGCACGGUGAUUGCUUUUCUGGUGAGGAAACAAAGGAACAGCUUUACUUUCAGUCCCUGUCCUCUGCUUAUGUAAGAGAAGAGAUGAGGUUGCUUCAUACCUCAGUUUCCCCCUUCUGUAAAUUGGGAAUAAUACAACUCCCUGUUUAGGUCAUAAGCCUCAAUUUUUUUGUAGUCCAAGUCAUUAAAAGCUCUAUGGGAGCUAUUAGAGAAAAACUGUAUGGCUGUGUGGGAGAGAGUGAAUGGAUAGAUGCUGGAGUGGGACUUAGGAAAAGUUGUUCUUCUAUUAGUACUAAUAGCUUUGUAUUUUUCUGCCUCUUUUUCCAUGCAUAUUGCUUUGCUUGUCUUGUCAUCUUUCUCUCCAAGGCCUAUGAGGCAAUGAUGGUCUCCCUGUUUUUAUCAUAUUUUUUCUGGAAUCCUGUUUCCUCUUAUGACUUCUUAGAUGACUUAAUAAAAAUAGAAAUCCAGAUAAAUGAGUUCUGAGUAAUCUUGUUCUGAAAUCCUUGGAUUGUAAAUUUGGACCCAUGAGGACAUGCAUUUUACACAACCUGCCUGGGAAAUGAAGAUUUACUUUCAAUAUAGUAAAUGACCAAGUUAAAUAUUGGUGACAUGACUAAAAGCUGUUACUGUUUUGGAUCUAUGUAUAUUUGUGUAUUCCAGUGAUGAACAACAUAAAUAGGACUUGCUAAUUCAUUAUUCAAAGUGGGAAUUCAUUAAUGAGCAGCCAGUGAGGCAUGGAGCCACACAGAGAAUUAGGAGACAAAGUACUGGAAAUCUGUUUGUUAAAGAAAUGCUGUUUGGUUUACUUUGAGAGUAAGCUGAUCCUGUGGGGAAAAGAUGUGCCUAGCAAAGAUUUGUAUCUUUAUACUUACCUCUAAAUGGGAAAGGGAGCAAGUUCAGAUCCCAUGGGCACCCUGAAUUUUGAAACUUCCUGUCAGUGCAGCGCUAUGUUCUUUAUUGCUGUCUUUCAGCACAGUCUCCAGUCCUCCUGCCCCAACUCUCCAGGCUAGAGCAGAAAAAAAAGUUCAGCCACAAAGAUAAAAGAAUAGUUACAAUAAUUGGUUACCAUCCUCCAGGAGUCCCAGCAUUACAGCAACAUUUUUGUGGAUCCUUGUGGGCAGGAGGGAAAUGCUGAGCCAAGGAUCUUGGGUUUCAUUCCCAGCAAUAUACCCUGUCAAGCACAGAGACUUUCUCCCUAAUUUCUUUCAUCUAUUCCUGAACUUCACUCUCCCCUCUGACUCGAUUCUCGGGCCCUUUAUUUCAUUCACAGUCACAGAUCCUGUCAAAAUCCCUUCCUCUAUUUUGUUCCCUUUAUCUUUCCUAACUCAAAUAUCCUUGUCAGCAUUUUGCAGUUGAAACUUUCAGAAUAAUCCCCUUGCCUAACUGACUUGACACUGUUCACAGCCCGUUCUGAUUCCAGCAGUCUGUCCUUUGCUCCUUGUCUAGGCACCAGAAAGGCAACUUUCUUCCUGAUGUAGUUUGCAGCAGGAAAGAGCUGCAAUUUCAGGAAAGCAACACUCCUUCCACCCCACCCUCCUGAAGAUUUAGUAGCACCCUAAAUAUUCUAGUGGUGGUUUUUUUGCAGGUAUCCAAGUACAAAAAAACUAUAAUUAAAAAAUAAGAGUCGUGUCUUGCCCAAACCUGAACAAGCAGAAGUCACGCCCCUGAUAGAAGCUAUCUGCCUCUCCCUGCCACUUUCAUGUCCUUGCAGAUCUCAUUGCAGACAUGAUCUGUAAAGUUGAUGUGGACUUCUAGCUUGUGUGUCUCCUGGUUGGUGUAUCUCUUUUUAGCCUGUUUUUUUCUGAGAAAUUGUAACUCUAUUCUGAUGUGAUUGUACCAUGUGUCUGGGCAUUGGUCAACCUCUGUCCCACCACCCUAAGUGACUUUGGCUAGUUAAGAGGUGUGAAGGACCCUGAACUGUUAUGGUCUGGAACAUUUGUAGGAAAUGGAUGCGCUGAUAGAAUAGGGAAGCCCAAAUCAGUGCCUCCCUGAAAGGGAAGGAAGAAAGUCAGACAACACCAGAGAAACCACACAUGGGACAAUCCCAAAGAACCUGUUCCUGUAACUUAAGGUGCCACAAGAAGUACUUGUUCUGCAAGUGCUCUUUUAAGAAAUGAUUGGACAAUUUUUGCAGAAGUUUCCUGACAGAGAUUGCUCUAAGACAGUCAUGAUGGCAAACUGCAAAUCCAUUAAAAUCUGGUAAAGCUGCACUGGGCUGCAAAGUUGAGCAACUGAUUAUUAAUGAUGCCACCAGCCCAUUUCCACUAAUAUCUUUUAAUAUGAUAUGGAGGCUAUACUAAUCUAGUCACAGCAAUUUACAAGUUGAAACCAGCCCAGAUCAACAAGAUUGCCUGAGAAUAACACAGCCAGGAAUUUGCCAGUGAAAGAAAUAACCUAAAGGAACGAUUUUCAGUAAGUGUUAACUACUGAACACUGCAGUGCCAAUUAACCUGGCACAGCAUGUCCUACAGCUCUUGUUUUAGCUUGCUUUUUUAUUAUUCACUGGAAGAAGGCACACUUCCCUACCAGCUAGAACUGGAGCUCUCUGCCACCUUCACAUCGCUCUGCUGGAAACAAGAGGAUAAAGCAAAAAUGUGCUAUUUUGAGAAUAGUGAGCAUGCUGAAGUCAGGAAUAGCAUCUGGGAAGAAACCCGAGGAAUGUCAAUCCAAACCUGUGAUCAGUUUGGUAAACUUCAGCUGUCUCCAAUGUAAGCCUGAAACGCAUAUCAUAAAUAAAGAAAAGUGUGGCUUGGG